AUUUACUCCUCUUCAACAUGUAGAGCAGUAAACCCUUUACAGUCUUAAAAACAGUGUCUGUCAUCCAUCUGCCAUUAUGAAUCUAAUAACAGUAUUUUUUCUUCUGUUCCUAACAGGACACAGCACGUCAACAUCUGCAGAAACUCUGCUGUCCUUAUGAAUUAAAGAACACAUCUCAGACCAGGGUUUGGUGCAAGAGAGAUGCUCAGGAUGAAAACUGCUGCACAGGCUUCUCAUUCAGGCCAGAAGUCAGCUAUCUGGAACAAGGUCAUGUUUAUGUACAGGAUGAUGGAAAGUCUUUCACUGUCUCCAUACUGACACUGAAACAAGGUGAUGGAAUCUACUGGUGUGGGUUGUUGGCUGACGACAAGACCAUCACAAAACUGGCGGAGGAUUACUUUUUCACAAGGAAAUAUGGAGAUACCAAGAAAACAAAUGAAAACAUUAUGAUGUCUGAUGCCAUGCAAUGUGGGUGGAAGAAUGAAGCAACCACAUUUACUGCAGAAUAAAGACAUGGUGGGGCAUCAGAUAUGCUGUAAAAUGUAAAAGAUUUUGUUUGUACUUUGUAAUAAAUUAGCCACAGUUCCUAAUUGUUAUUCUUCCCUCUAAAUCACAGUUUUAAAGCUUUUUUUGUGUGUGUGUUUUUAACAGAAAAACAUUCAAACAUUUACCACAAAGGAUUAAAAUGUCUUAUAAAGAGGGUAAUAAUUUUGUUCAAUUUCCUUAGUUAAUUAAUAUAAAUUGUGAAGCUUUCGAAUACCUGUUAUUGCAUAUAUCAUUCAUGUGAAAUAAUUUAAAAGUUUAAUCCUUAAAGAAACACCUUUUAAAUUUUGAUUUUGUUUGCUGUGAAAGAAAUAUGCAUCUUAUAAAAUAAACCCUAUUUCUUUAUAAAGAAAAUGUUAGACAUAGUAUUACAUACAUAAUGUGGUGCACAAAGGGAUCACCUAUUCAACACAACCAUAACGCAAUACAAUGUGGAUUUUAAAAGCAUAUCUAAUAACCAUUUAACCUUUUUUUUUUUUUAACACACAUUGGUUGCUUCAAAGACUUUGCAGAAGCAAAUGUGUCUGUGAACUGAAAUGCCUGUUGCAUUAAAGUCUGCUGUAUUGAUUAUUAGUGUACAAGUGCCAUGCAGUUAAUAUAUAAAAGUAACCAAAAAGAAAUAUGACACAGGACUGGUUCUAUUAAAAAACAGCAAAACUAUUACCAAAAAAAUGUUUGUGGUAUUUUUGUAUUGAAUUCAGAUUUCAAGCAACAAUGCAAUUUCAAUCAAUCGUGAUUUAAUUGAAAAAUAAUAAUGCAAAAAAAAAAAAAAAAAAAAAAUUCAAAUGAUAAAUAUGACAUAAGUGCUUUCUUGAAAUUACUAUUAUCAUAAAACAAAGCAAACAAAAACAGAUGAAAUGCAAUAAUCAAAAAUACUAUAAUUACAGACAGUAGUAAAAGUAAAAAAAAUGUUGCAUAAUUACACAGUACAGGGCCAUUUCUAGGCAUAGGCGAACUAGGCGGUCGCCUAGGGCGCCACCUGCUGGGAGGGCACCAAAGAAGAGGCCUCUGCCAUACCACGAUGGGGGUGCCAAUAUGGAUCUCGCCUAAGGCGCCAGAAUGGUUUGAAAUGGUACUGACACAGUAGGUACAUUUCCUAAUUUUUCAAAAAACACAAUCAUUGUUAGCCUACUUGAUCUAUUUUCAAGUCUGGUGUUGAAUUUUGAGCAUAGUCUCCUUUAAGGCAUUUCCUGAUUCAAAGAGUGCGUAGCCGUAUGAGGGAAAUGUCUGUUGCAGUAACUACUCCCCUAUUUUGAGAAAAUGCCUAAAUUUGCACUAUUCAUUGACCAAAAUUGACUCAACCGAUACAUUGCUAAAAAAAAAAUUUGUUCUAAAUAUAUUUUGGGAA